CUUGCAGUUCUUUAGAACUACGCAACUGAAGCCAAGGAAAGUAAGAAGUGAAAUGUUAUCCCAAGAUUUAGGUGGUUAAGAGAGAAUGUGCCUUCUCCCUCAUCUCUUUGCUCAUCCAUACCACUGAAUGCAGAGAAAAAUGAGGCCUUAGGAGAUGUUGGAUUACAGGAGGUUAGAGAGCUGAUAUGCAAAAUCUCUAAAUUGCACUGGCAACCCUCCAAGGAAAUCUACUACAGACAACCAAAAGCUGGAUGAGAAGAAACAGAAAGAAAUUUUUCAAAUAGACUCAGCGUUGCAUGGAUUCUCAUGAAACACAGGACGUAACUUGGUUAUAAAACCAAAUUGUUGUUGGUCUGUGGAACGAUGUGUGCUUACCUGGGAGGUAUUGCAGCAAAGUUACAUACUGUGUCUUCAAUAUUUAUAACAUCUAA